rnacentral:rRNA from 1 species
GAUGAACGCUAGCGGCAGGCUUAAUACAUGCAAGUCGAGGGGCAGCAGCUUUGUAGCAAUACAGGGGCUGGCGACCGGCAAACGGGUGCGGAACACGUACGCAACCUUCCUUUAACUGGAAGAUAGCCCACCGAAAGGUGGAUUAAUACUCCAUAACAUAUUGAAGAGGCAUCUCUUUGAUAUUAAAGCUCCGGCGGUCAAAGAUGGGCGUGCGUCGGAUUAGGUAGUUGGCGGGGUAACGGCCCAACAAGCCUUCGAUCAGUAGCUGAUGUGAGAGCAUGAUCAGCCACACGGGCACUGAGACACGGGCCCGACUCCUACGGGAGGCAGCAGUAAGGAAUAUUGGUCAAUGGACGCAAGUCUGAACCAGCCAUGCCGCGUGGAGGAUGAAGGCCCUCUGGGUUGUAAACUUCUUUUCUUUGGGACGAAACCCCUGUUUCUACGGGGACUGACGGUACCAGAGGAAUAAGCACCGGCUAACUCCGUGCCAGCCGCCGCAGUAAGAC